GACGAACGCUGGCGGCGUGCCUAAUACAUGCAAGUCGAGCGAAUGGAUUAAGAGCUUGCUCUUAUGAAGUUAGCGGCGGACGGGUGAGUAACACGUGGGUAACCUGCCCAUAAGACUGGGAUAACUCCGGGAAACCGGGGCUAAUACCGGAUAACAUUUUGAACCGCAUGGUUCGAAAUUGAAAGGCGGCUUCGGCUGUCACUUAUGGAUGGACCCGCGUCGCAUUAGCUAGUUGGUGAGGUAACGGCUCACCGAGGCAACGAUGCGUAGCCGGCCUGAGAGGGUGAUCGGCCACACUGGGACUGAGACACGGCCCAGACUCCUACGGGAGGCAGCAGUAGGGAAUCGUCCGCAAUGGACGAAAGUCUGACGGAGCAACGCCGCGUGAGUGAUGAAGGCUUUCGGGUCGUAAAACUCUGUUGUUAGGGAAGAACAAGUGCUAGUUGAAUAAGCUGACACCUUGACGGUACCUAACCAGAAAGCCACGGCUAACUACGUGCCAGCCGCCGCCGUAA
rnacentral:rRNA from 1 species